UACGUAGGGGGCAAGCGUUGUCCGGAAUCAUUGGGCGUAAAGCGCGUGUAGGCGGUUACGUAAGUCUGCUGUGAAAGUCGGAGGCUCAACCUUCGAAAGCCGGUGGAUACUGCGUGACUAGAGUACGGAAGAGGAGAGUGGAAUUCCUGGUGAGCGGUGAAAUGCGCAGAUAUCAGGAGGAACACCAACGGCGAAGGCAGCUCGCUGGGACGUUACUGACGCUGAGACGCGAAAGCGUGGGGAGCAAACAGG
rnacentral:rRNA from 1 species